rnacentral:lncRNA from 1 species
AUGGUGUCCAUCUGGCAAAGAAGAGAAAUAAGAGCCACAGAAGUUUCUGAAGACUUUCCAGCCCAAGAAGAAAAUGUGAAGUUCGAAAAUAGAUUGCCAUCUGGUUGUACCAGUAGAAGAUUAUGGAAGAUUUUGUCAUUGACAAUUGGUGGAACCAUUGCCCUUUGCAUUGGAUUUCUUACAUCUGUCUACCUUGCCACAUUACAUGAAAAUGAUUUAUGGUUUUCUAAUAUUAAG